UGUUUUAAAACUCUUCUCUCCGUUGUUUCUUCUCUGACUUCUUUCUUUCUUCUUGAUGCAAGUAUUUAUAAUAAAAAAAGAGAGGAAGCU
rnacentral:ribozyme from 11 species